rnacentral:rRNA from 1 species
UACAGAGGUCUCAAGCGUUGUUCGGAUUCAUUGGGCGUAAAGGGUGCGUAGGCGGCGCGGUAAGUCGGGUGUGAAAUCUCGGAGCUUAACUCCGAAACUGCAUUCGAUACUGCCGUGCUUGAGGACUGGAGAGGAGACUGGAAUUUACGGUGUAGCGGUGAAAUGCGUAGAUAUCGUAAGGAAGACCAGUGGCGAAGGCGGGUCUCUGGGCCUUGCCUGACGCUGAGGCGCGAAAGCUAGGGGAGCGAACAGG